rnacentral:tRNA from 1 species
GCCGGGAUGGUGGAACAGGUAGACACGCGAGACUUAAAAUCUCGUGAGCCGCAAAGCUCGUGCGGGUUCGAUUCCCGCUCCUGGUACAA